rnacentral:rRNA from 1 species
GACGAACGCUGGCGGCGUGCUUAACACAUGCAAGUCGAACGCACGGCCUUGGGGUUUUCUUGGGGUUGGUGAGUGGCGAACGGGUGAGUAACACGUGAGUAACCUGCCCUCUUCUUUGGGAUAACAGUUGGAAACGACUGCUAAUACCGCAUAAGCCCACAGCACCGCAUGGUGCAGCGGGAAAAGGAGCAAUUCGCUUCAGGAUGGCCUCGCGUCCAAUUAGGUAGAUGGUGAGGUAACGGCCCACCAUGCCGACGAUUGGUAGCCGGACUGAGAGGUUGAACGGCCACAUUGGGACUGAGACACGGCCCAG